AGAGUUUGAUUAUGGCUCAGAACGAACGCUGGCGGCAUGCCUAACACAUGCAAGUCGAACGGGGUCGGAACUUCGGUUCCGGCUUACGUGGCGCACGGGUGAGUAACACGUGGGAAUCUGCCCAUCUAUGGGGAAUAACUGCGGGAAACUGCAGCUAAUACCGCAUACGCCCUUCGGGGGAAAGGCUUCGGCCGUAGAUGGAUGAGCCCGCGUCCGAUUAGCUAGUUGGUGGGGUAACGGCCUACCAAGGCGACGAUCGGUAGCUGGUCUGAGAGGAUGAUCAGCCACACUGGGACUGAGACACGGCCCAGACUCCUACGGGAGGCAGCAGUGGGGAAUAUUGGACAAUGGGCGAAAGCCUGAUCCAGCAAUGCCGCGUGAGUGAUGAAGGUCUUCGGAUUGUAAAGCUCUUUCGACGGGGAAGAUAAUGACGGUACCCGUAGAAGAAGCCCCGGCUAACUUCGUGCCAGCAGCCGCGGUAAUACGAAGGGGGCUAGCGUUGUUCGGAUUUACUGGGCGUAAAGCGUGCGUAGGCGGCUUAUCAAGUCCGAAGUGAAAGCCCGGGGCUCAACUCCGGAACUGCUUUUGAGACUGGUAGGCUGGAGUUCGGGAGAGGGUAGUGGAAUUCCCAGUGUAGAGGUGAAAUUCGUAGAUAUUGGGAAGAACACCGGUGGCGAAGGCGGC
rnacentral:rRNA from 1 species